rnacentral:rRNA from 1 species
GGGGAAUAUUGGACAAUGGGGGAAACCCUGAUCCAGCGACGCCGCGUGGGUGAAGAAGGCCUGCGGGUUGUAAAGCCCUUUCGGUAGGGACGAAAGCUCUCGACCUAACACGUCGGGAGGUUGACUUAACCUACAAAAGAAGCACCGGCUAACUCUGUGCCAGCAGCCGCGGUAAUACAGAGGGUGCGAGCGUUAAUCGGAAUUACUGGGCGUAAAGCGCACGUAGGCGGCUUGGUAUGUCGGGUGUGAAAUCCCCGGGCUCAACCUGGGAACUGCAUCCGAAACUGCCUUGCUCGAGUAUGGGAGAGGGAAGCGGAAUUUCCGGUGUAGCGGUGAAAUGCGUAGAUAUCGGAAGGAACAUCAGUGGCGAAGGCGGCUUCCUGGACCAAUACUGACGCUCAGGUGCGAAAGCGUGGGGAGCAAAC